AGCGUACACGGUGGAUGCCCUGGCAGUCAGAGGCGAUGAAGGACGUGCUAAUCUGCGAUAAGCGUCGGUAAGGUGAUAUGAACCGUUAUAACCGGCGAUUUCCGAAUGGGGAAACCCAGUGUGAUUCGUCACACUAUCAUUAACUGAAUCCAUAGGUUAAUGAGGCGAACCGGGGGAACUGAAACAUCUAAGUACCCCGAGGAAAAGAAAUCAACCGAGAUUCCCCCAGUAGCGGCGAGCGAACGGGGAGCAGCCCAGAGCCUGAAUCAGUGUGUGUGUUAGUGGAAGCGUCUGGAAAGGCGCGCGAUACAGGGUGACAGCCCCGUACACAAAAAUGCACAUACUGUGAGCUCGAUGAGUAGGGCGGGACACGUGGUAUCCUGUCUGAAUAUGGGGGGACCAUCCUCCAAGGCUAAAUACUCCUGACUGACCGAUAGUGAACCAGUACCGUGAGGGAAAGGCGAAAAGAACCCCGGCGAGGGGAGUGAAAAAGAACCUGAAACCGUGUACGUACAAGCAGUGGGAGCCUCUUUAUGGGGUGACUGCGUACCUUUUGUAUAAUGGGUCAGCGACUUAUAUUCUGUAGCAAGGUUAACCGAAUAGGGGAGCCGAAGGGAAACCGAGUCUUAACUGGGCGUUAAGUUGCAGGGUAUAGACCCGAAACCCGGUGAUCUAGCCAUGGGCAGGUUGAAGGUUGGGUAACACUAACUGGAGGACCGAACCGACUAAUGUUGAAAAAUUAGCGGAUGACUUGUGGCUGGGGGUGAAAGGCCAAUCAAACCGGGAGAUAGCUGGUUCUCCCCGAAAGCUAUUUAGGUAGCGCCUCGUGAAUUCAUCUCCGGGGGUAGAGCACUGUUUCGGCAAGGGGGUCAUCCCGACUUACCAACCCGAUGCAAACUGCGAAUACCGGAGAAUGUUAUCACGGGAGACACACGGCGGGUGCUAACGUCCGUCGUGAAGAGGGAAACAACCCAGACCGCCAGCUAAGGUCCCAAAGUCAUGGUUAAGUGGGAAACGAUGUGGGAAGGCCCAGACAGCCAGGAUGUUGGCUUAGAAGCAGCCAUCAUUUAAAGAAAGCGUAAUAGCUCACUGGUCGAGUCGGCCUGCGCGGAAGAUGUAACGGGGCUAAACCAUGCACCGAAGCUGCGGCAGCGACGCUGAUGCGUUGUUGGGUAGGGGAGCGUUCUGUAAGCCUGCGAAGGUGUGCUGUGAGGCAUGCUGGAGGUAUCAGAAGUGCGAAUGCUGACAUAAGUAACGAUAAAGCGGGUGAAAAGCCCGCUCGCCGGAAGACCAAGGGUUCCUGUCCAACGUUAAUCGGGGCAGGGUGAGUCGACCCCUAAGGCGAGGCCGAAAGGCGUAGUCGAUGGGAAACAGGUUAAUAUUCCUGUACUUGGUGUUACUGCGAAGGGGGGACGGAGAAGGCUAUGUUGGCCGGGCGACGGUUGUCCCGGUUUAAGCGUGUAGGCUGGUUUUCCAGGCAAAUCCGGAAAAUCAAGGCUGAGGCGUGAUGACGAGGCACUACGGUGCUGAAGCAACAAAUGCCCUGCUUCCAGGAAAAGCCUCUAAGCAUCAGGUAACAUCAAAUCGUACCCCAAACCGACACAGGUGGUCAGGUAGAGAAUACCAAGGCGCUUGAGAGAACUCGGGUGAAGGAACUAGGCAAAAUGGUGCCGUAACUUCGGGAGAAGGCACGCUGAUAUGUAGGUGAAGCGACUUGCUCGUGGAGCUGAAAUCAGUCGAAGAUACCAGCUGGCUGCAACUGUUUAUUAAAAACACAGCACUGUGCAAACACGAAAGUGGACGUAUACGGUGUGACGCCUGCCCGGUGCCGGAAGGUUAAUUGAUGGGGUCAGCGCAAGCGAAGCUCUUGAUCGAAGCCCCGGUAAACGGCGGCCGUAACUAUAACGGUCCUAAGGUAGCGAAAUUCCUUGUCGGGUAAGUUCCGACCUGCACGAAUGGCGUAAUGAUGGCCAGGCUGUCUCCACCCGAGACUCAGUGAAAUUGAACUCGCUGUGAAGAUGCAGUGUACCCGCGGCAAGACGGAAAGACCCCGUGAACCUUUACUAUAGCUUGACACUGAACAUUGAGCCUUGAUGUGUAGGAUAGGUGGGAGGCUUUGAAGUGUGGACGCCAGUCUGCAUGGAGCCGGCCUUGAAAUACCACCCUUUAAUGUUUGAUGUUCUAACGUGGACCCGUGAUCCGGGUUGCGGACAGUGUCUGGUGGGUAGUUUGACUGGGGCGGUCUCCUCCUAAAGAGUAACGGAGGAGCACGAAGGUUGGCUAAUCCUGGUCGGACAUCAGGAGGUUAGUGCAAUGGCAUAAGCCAGCUUGACUGCGAGCGUGACGGCGCGAGCAGGUGCGAAAGCAGGUCAUAGUGAUCCGGUGGUUCUGAAUGGAAGGGCCAUCGCUCAACGGAUAAAAGGUACUCCGGGGAUAACAGGCUGAUACCGCCCAAGAGUUCAUAUCGACGGCGGUGUUUGGCACCUCGAUGUCGGCUCAUCACAUCCUGGGGCUGAAGUAGGUCCCAAGGGUAUGGCUGUUCGCCAUUUAAAGUGGUACGCGAGCUGGGUUUAGAACGUCGUGAGACAGUUCGGUCCCUAUCUGCCGUGGGCGCUGGAGAACUGAGGGGGGCUGCUCCUAGUACGAGAGGACCGGAGUGGACGCAUCACUGGUGUUCGGGUUGUCAUGCCAAUGGCACUGCCCGGUAGCUAAAUGCGGAAGAGAUAAGUGCUGAAAGCAUCUAAGCACGAAACUUGCCCCGAGAUGAGUUCUCCCUGACUCCUUGA
rnacentral:rRNA from 1 species